rnacentral:rRNA from 1 species
UUUGAAGUAGUCUGUCUUUUUUGUAUGAAUUGAAUUUAACUUUUAAGUGAAAAGGCUUAAAUUUUCUGGGGGGACGAUAAGACCCUAUAAAACUUUACAUGAGUUGGAUUGUUUUUGAAUUUAGGUAUGAAUAAAAACUAUCUUUAUCUUGUUACGUUGGGGUGACGAAAAUAUAAUUUGUAACUGUUUGUUGGUUGAAAUAAAGGUAUUUAGAUUAGUUGAUCCUAUAUUAUGGAUUAUAAGAAUAAGUUACUUUAGGGAUAACAGCGUAAUUUUUUCUGAGAGUUCUUAUCGACGAAAGUAGUUGCGACCUCGAUGUUGAAUUAAAGUUUCAUCAAGGUGUAGAAGCUUUGAUUUGUGGGUCUGUUCGACCUUUAAAACUUUACGUGAUCUGAGUUCAGACCGGA